UGGUUCAGAGGUUAAAGCGACUGCCUGCAAUGCAGGAGACCCAGGUUCAAUCCCUGG
rnacentral:tRNA from 1 species